AUCGAUGAAGAACGCAGCGAAAUGCGAUACGUAAUGUGAAUUGCAGAAUUCCGUGAAUCAUUGAAUCUUUGAACGCACCUUGCGCCCCUUGGUAUUCCGAGGGGCAUGCCUGUUUGAGUGUCAUUGAAACCCCUCAACUCGACCUUUUGGAAGGUCGAGCUUGGAUUUGGAGAGUGCCGGCCAGCCUCGGCUCCUCUGAAAAGCAUUAGCGAGCGACUCUUGCGUCUGCUUUGGCGUUGAUAAACCUGUCUACGCCCCGGGCACGCUCGACGUGUUUGCUUACAGUCGUCUCUAGGGACAACCGUGACCCAACAAUCACCUCAAAUCAGGUAGGACUACCCGCUGAACUUAAGCAUAUCAAUAAGCGGAGGAAAAGAAACUAACAAGGAUUCCCCUAGUAACUGCGAGUGAAGCGGGAAAAGCUCAAAUUUAAAAUCUGGCGUUCUUUCGGACGUCCGAGUUGUAAUCUAGAGAAGCGUCUUCCGCGCCGGACCGUGUACAAGUCUCUUGGAAUGGAGCGUCGUAGAGGGUGACAAUCCCGUCUUUGACACGGACCGCCGGUGCUUUUGUGAUGCGCUCUCGAAGAGUCGAGUUGUUUGGGAAUGCAGCUCAAAACGGGUGGUAAAUUCCAUCUAAAGCUAAAUACAGGCGAGAGACCGAUAGCGAACAAGUACCGUGAGGGAAAGAUGAAAAGAACUUUGAAAAGAGAGUUAAACAGUACGUGAAAUUGUUGAAAGGGAAACGAUUCAAGUCAGUCGCGUCGCCCGGUAAUCAACCCUUUUUUCGAAGAGGGCUCACUUUCUGGGUCGACGGGUCAGCGUCAAUUUUGACCGUCAGAUAAAGGUGCGAGGAAUGUGGCAUCUUCGGAUGUGUUAUAGCCUCUCGUCGCAUGUGAUGGUCGGGAUUGAGGAUCUCGACACGCCGCAAGGUCGGGGCGUUCGUGCCCACGUAACGUGUCUCGGAUGCUGGCAUAAUGGCUUGAACCGACCCGUCUUGAAACACGG
rnacentral:rRNA from 1 species